UAUAUAUAUAUAUAUAUUGGCAUGAUCCUGACAAGUGACUAACUUGCCCACUAGCUGCAAUAAUUAAGGGCUUUCUUGUCACAUCACAUAUAGUGACAUCGAACAAUGCAGUACUAACAUUCAAGGAAAUCAUUUUUAGGUUAGACCUUUUCUUUUUCUCUAAAAUAUUCACAAUUGCUCGGGACAAGGAAAUGGACAUCCUUUGAAUGCCCAAAAUUCUAACAUCCAAAACUUUGCCAAAUGUGCAUGAGAAUUGCUAAUGUUCAGCAUUCACUAUGCUAGAUUAAAAAAAAGAAAAAGCAAAAAAUGGAAAAAGCCUGCUCUUUUAAGAUCAAAGCAAAUGUGAAAUAAUGAUGAAUGAUGCUAAGAUAUCAUUAUGGUGCAUAAUCUUCCUGGAUAAUGAUGUGAUAUAUGAAGAGGGUUUGAAAAUGUGGCCACAUCCUAGGUGCUACAUAGCACAUAUGCAAUUUGUAUUUAAGUUUAUGACCAGGUUCUUCAAGCUUUAUCAAAACUAUUUGACACUGGAUUUGUGAAUCCUUAUUCAUCCGACAUUAUUACUUGUGACUACUUUGGGUGCUGGUUGCUAUUUACAAAGUAUUUAGAAUUAAAUAAAUUUUAUAAAAAUGGAUAAAAAUGUCAUUAAUUAGAUAGAGGAAGAGGAGGAGAGAAGGAAAAGUAUAGUGAGAAUAUAGGAGGGCAAAAACUUGACCUAGAUACAGUAAUUAGGUUAAGAUCUUACAUUUGUGGUGACUGCAUCAUCAUUGGAAGCAGAAGGUGAAACAUCUUAAGCCUAUCCUGAUAUGGCCUCCAUUUUAGAUAAGUUACCAUAAAUAGGUUAGUUUUCAUGCAAUAAAGAUGCAUUGUUUGAAGUCAACAUUGAAAUGAAAAGUUUCAGUUCAAAAAUUGAUGUGGGUACGUUAAAUCAUAUCAUUGAACUAAAGUUGAACUAACAUUUAAUCCACCUCACCCCCUCCUCAUUUGAAUUCAUUCUUCUAUCUUUUGUUCGUAAUCUGUUCAUUUUGUGCCUCCUCCUCUUCCUCCUUUGAAUUCAUUCUUUUAGGUUUUGUUUGUUAUCUUGUCUUUGUUAUCUCCUCCUCUUCCUCCUUCUUUGAAUUAUUUCUUCUAGCUUUUGUUCAUUAUCUAUUCAUUUUGUGCCUCCUCUCUAGCUUCCUCCUUUGAAUUCCUUCUUUUGGCUUUUGUUUGUUAUCUAUUCAUUUUGUGCCUUCUGUACAAGUUUGAGCCCUAAUCCUUUGCUAAAGCUGUUUCAAACGGAUAUCAGUUAAUGACAAAGUAGUGUGAAUUGGGGGCAUGGCAGGAAGUGUUGCUUCCAAAUAUUUCUGAAGUGGGGGCACCUUUUAUCCAUUUUUAUAAGGCAACGUUAAUUAUUAUGACAUCAUAUUUUUAUAUUGUGUUUGGUAGUGUUUCCUUUAGUUUGUAAUCCAUUUAUUGGUCUUUCUUUUCUAACACCGGACACGACUCCACAAGAUGACAAAUAUUUGUGUAAGUUGAAAUGUUAAAGAAUUAAAUUCUUUGGUUAAGCAAAUGCCAGUAAAAAGAGUGGUUAACUAUACAGAGCUUGCAAGUGUCAAGGUACAAAAGCCAAAUCAGGCUCCUAGGGAAGUGGAAGGCUCAAACAGAAGAUUUCGCUAUUGAGCUAUACGGACAUCUAUUUAUCCAAAAAAGGUGAAGGCUUGAGAAAUUCAAUAUGGAAAAUCAAAGAACUUCUAGAACUUCUUAUCCAUUUUCUUGUUCAACAUGAACAUGACUUGAUUUCCUUUAAUGCUAUUUCUAAAUCUUUCUUAACAUUUUGUAGUUUAGUUGAAUGGGUGCUAUAUAUGUAUUCCUCCCAACUGCAGCCCCAUCUCCAAAAGAAGAAAAAAAAUCUCUCCUCCCUUCAUGCUAAACCUAUUUCUUUGGUAGAGUUCUCAUUUAUAGCAACCUCUGGAAAUAUCCGUUCAAAGUUUUUAUAAGCUUGCCAUCUCCCAUAAGAUUUCUAUCACCCACAUUUUAAUGCGCCAUAAGGUUUCCUCCCAACUGCAGCUCCACCUCCAAAAGAAGAAAAAAAAUCUCUCCUCCCUUCAUGCUAAACCUAUUUCUUUGGUAGAGUUCUCAUUUAUAGCAACUUCUGGAAAUAUCCGUUCAAAGGUUUUAUAAGCUUGCCAUCUCCCAUAAGGUUUCUAUCACCCACAUUUUAAUGCGCCAUAUGUGAUUCCCCCCUCUAUAGUCUGUCAGUUUCUCUACAAAGCUAAUUUGCAAUAUCCUUCUCAACUUUUUUUAGCUUGUUUCCAUGAUAAUAUCUUGGCUAGAUUCUCUCCAAUGGCCUAAUCUGAAGGUCUUCUGAAUCAACAACCUGGGAACAGAUCUCUUUGUAAUUCUUGAGCAUCCAUGGUCCUUCAGUAUGAGUCCAAUUCCUCUAUCAUUGCAAUCGGUAUCUUGGUGAUUCCUCUAAUUGUGCCCAUGAAUGCACCUUGUUUGAUCUCCAUUAUCUCCUUUAAGUUGCGAGUCAUAGCUUGUCGUUUGCCAGAGUUGCUUCUAACCUCCUUACAGUUCUCAUGCGCAGCCUAUUUCUCAUAGCGUCAUCUCUUUCCAUAUCAAACUUGGUCUUUCUGACCUGUUCAGAGUUGAUCAUCUUCUCAUUUACUAUUGCAACAAUUGCCUCUUUCAAUAUCAACGUGAGUGACAUGACUUACCCACAACAUGGCUUGUGCAUUGGCCUUAUACCAUCUAUCACAGACUUAGACUGUUCCAAAUCUAUGCAGUGAUCAUUUCACCUCUCUCAUUCGCAUGAAUUGAUCUUAGUCAAUGCUAUCAUUCUUUGGUCUUUAGGCAUUUUUUGUGAAGAACAAAACAAACUUAGUACUUCUAGACAUAAAGCACCUGUAAAUGACCAAGUGCACUCGUGACAUUAACUUCACAUGUUCUAUUUCAACUCAAUUUCAAACAGUCUGGGGUAGAAAUUAGUGGAUCCUCACCUUCUAGACAAGUGAAAGUGGC
rnacentral:lncRNA from 1 species